rnacentral:rRNA from 1 species
AAGGAUCAUUAUCGAAUCGAGGGGGGGAAUGAUCACUGAAGAUCAAAGACUGUCGCUGGCUUCUUGCAUGUGCACGUCCUAGAUUUCCUUUGGUUUGACCCUCUUUUACAUUCAUACACCUGUGCACCUGUUGUAGGUCGCUCGCAAGAGCGAUCUAUGUCUUUCUACACCCUUUGGCGUAUGUCUACAGAAUGUAUCAAAAAUAUAUAUACAACUUUCAGCAACGGAUCUCUUGGCUCUCGCAUCGAUGAAGAACGCAGCGAAUUGCGAUAAGUAAUGUGAAUUGCAGAUUUUCAGUGAAUCAUCGAAUCUUUGAACGCACCUUGCGCUCCUUGGUAUUCCGAGGAGCAUGCCUGUUUGAGUGUCAUUUGAAUUCUCAACCAUGUCUUGCUCAUGGAUUGGACUUGUGGGGGUUGCUGGCGGCCGAAAGCUAUCAGCUCCUCUGAAAUGCAUUAGCAAAUCGUCUUUGAUGUGCACGGCCUUUGGCGUGAUAAUGAUCGUCGCGGGCUGGAGCAUCUGAUAUGCUUCCAAUCCUGUCGUGCUUAGCUACUAGUCGGUGUACGACGAACGCGGCACUUUCCUUCAGACUUGACCUCAAAUCAGGUAGGACUACCCGCUGAACUUAAGCAUAUCAAUAAGCGGAGGAAAAGAAACUAACAAGGAUUCCCCUAGUAACUGCGAGUGAACCGGGAUGAGCUCAAAUUUUGAAUCUGGCGGUCUUGAGGCCGUCCGAGUU